AAACACAAACAGCAUUUAGCAUUCAGACAAUCACAAAGCGAUUCGAACCGGUCCGGUCAGAUCCUUGGCUCGCUCCGACCCACUGAAAUGUUUGUGGAACUGUUGUACAUCAUCAUCACCGAAACUCCAAACUUUCACUGUAACACUCAGCUUGGAUUCCAAAGAUUCCCGACAGACUAUGACGCAACCAUGCUAACAAUGUCAAACAGCACAAGAAGACAAAGGUAUUUCCAUCAGUUGACCUAACUUGUUACUCACAGGAACAUCCUAUACUGCUACUCCUAAAGACGGCUAUAGCUGCAUUAGAGGAACACUGUUGAAGUACUUUGGAGAACAACCAACUCUACCUGCUCCUAAUGCUUCAUCGAGUGACAGUGCCUCCACAGCUGAUGAUACAGCAGGUUCAUCCACUGCACAAGCGGCUGAAAGUGAGGAGCAGUUACAUGCGACUGAAAGAGAGAAACAGUUACAAGCACUUGCAUUCACUGAUACAUCAGUUUCAACCUCAGGCAGCAUGACAGGUCCUUCUACAUCUGCACCCACUGCUAUAGAUUUCCCAUCCCUCAACACUCCCUCAACAAGCUCAAGCUAUCAAGAUAGAGCAACAGCUCUUACAAUUGACCCAGCUGAAUGGUCAGCAUUCCUGUCAGACUCAGAAAGGACU